rnacentral:rRNA from 1 species
AGGAUGAACGCUGGCGGCGUGCUUAACACAUGCAAGUCGAACGAUGAAGCUGGAGCUUGCUCUGGUGGAUUAGUGGCGAACGGGUGAGUAACACGUGAGUAACCUGCCCUUGACUCUGGAAUAAGCGUUGGAAACGACGUCUAAUACCGGAUACGAGCUUCCGCCGCAUGGUGAGGAGCUGGAAAGAAUUUCGGUCAAGGAUGGACUCGCGGCCUAUCAGGUAGUUGGUGAGGUAAUGGCUCACCAAGCCUACGACGGGUAGCCGGCCUGAGAGGGUGACCGGCCACACUGGAACUGAGACACGGUCCAGACUCCUACGGGAGGCAGCAGUGGGGAAUAUUGCACAAUGGGCGCAAGCCUGAUGCAGCAACGCCGCGUGAGGGACGACGGCCUUCGGGUUGUAAACCUCUUUUAGUAGGGAAGAAGCGAAAGUGACGGUACCUGCAGAAAAAGCACCGGCUAACUACGUGCCAGC